UUUCUACCAAGGCCUGCACUAUAAGGAGCAAGGCAUCUAGAGGUCAGCUGAUUAACAACCUUAAUUCCAUCUGCAACCUUUAUUUCCCAUGGCACGUAACACAACAUAGUCACAUGGACUAGGAGGUGGACAUCUCUGGAGAUUAUUCUACCUACCAUAACCACUUAUUAGCUGUGUGACCUUAAGCAAGUUAAUUCUUUCCUCUAAGCCUCAGUUUAUUUUCCAGAGAAACAGGGAAGGUGAGGAUAAUGGCACCUACUGCUGGGGAAUAUUGAGAGAAUGAAAGUAGACUAUGGUGAGGAUAUUGGCACCUACUGCUGGGAAUUAUUGAGGGAAUGAAAGUAGACUGUGGUGAUGAAUGUAAAGCUUAGCAUAAUACUCAACAGUCAGGGAUCAAUAAAUGCUGUUGGCCUUUAUCACCAUCCUCCUCCUCCUCCUCAUCACAAUUGUUUGUAGGGGGAGGUAGGAAAUGAAAUAACACAUCCUCAAGAGAAGUAACAUCUGCUCCUUAUGGAAGGAGAAU
rnacentral:lncRNA from 1 species